UUUUCUGAUGCUGGUGUCACUGCUGGGCAGUAUGCGAGGGCCAGAGGGAGAUUCAGACGCACUGAUUGUAAUUACAGAACUGCCAAGGCCUCCAGGAAAAAUAGCAAGCAUCAGGCUGCAUUAAUCUUCACUGGAUCUCCCGUGACUUCUGCGCGAUUUCAGAGGGACCAGAAGAAAUCGCUCUGUGUAGGAAAUCCAGCUUGCAAAGCCACCAUUUGCUCACAGAAGGUUUCUCCCGCUACUCGUCUCCUUUUAAAAACAGGUUCCUCCUACCGUACGCAAGAUGAACUUUUUUUUUUCCCAAGGAGUAAUUAGCUCCUGUAGUUUCAUUGCCCCCUGAAAUCAUUGCUUCUGGUGAGAGGAACAGCAGUAAUGAAGUACUACUUAACAUUCACACAGGGCUUUUCAUCAGUCACUCUCCAGGCUUUUCACAAAAGAAGGUGUCCUUUUGCAGAUGGGGACACAGAGACAGCAUGACUACGAAACCUUUGGGAAGUCACUAUAAGGUGGUAGCCCAGGCGGGCUGGCCACACAAUCUGGUGGCCCCUCCAUGGACCACAUUGCCCCCCUCACCACAGUUGCCAUAGCAGCCUCUAUAGAUGCCACUGCUAGAAGAUGAUCUCCAAUUCACGCAUCACAGAUGCAGCUUUGCCACCCACAGAUGAGCCCCUUGAAGUGUGGAAAAGCCACUGGACGAAAUAUCCUUCUACACUCAUGAUCACCAAGAGAAGCCCAGGCCUCCUGAAGGGUCUUCAGAGGCUUGCACGAAACCUGAGGAAGUUUCAGCCUUUUCAGUAACUACGAUUAUGGCAACAGCGGGCCACGUGACAGAAGGUAAUGAAAACAAAGAGCAGAGGGGAAAGUUAUUGCACUAAAAACAAACUCUGUUAUAUUGCAGAUUAUAUUACAAGUGAAAGGCACAUGACUGCAUUGCCUGAGACUGUGGUGAUGCUAUGGGAGCCUCAGUCCUAAACUGCUCAUUAGCAUGGAGAGAUUUUGAUUUAAUAACUGUGAUCAAAAUCCCACUGAAUAUGGUGGUCAUUAUGUACCCAAACUGAAGAUGCUCACCAAGGUUUAUGAUCUUUGAGUAAAUUUAAGUAUUCAUUAAAAGGACUGGCCAGUAUAUCAGUUACAUAAGGAAAGCAUCCAAAUGAUACUGUUGUCUGAAAAAGCCCUGACCUUUCAGAAAGC
rnacentral:lncRNA from 1 species